GACGAACGCUGGCGGCGUGCCUAAUACAUGCAAGUAGAACGCUGAAGACUUUAACUUGCUAAAGUUGGAAGAGUUGCGAACGGGUGAGUAACGCGUAGGUAACCUGCCUACUAGCGGGGGAUAACUAUUGGAAACGAUAGCUAAUACCGCAUAACAGCUUUUAACCCAUGUUAGAAGCUUGAAAGGUGCAAUUGCAUCACUAGUAGAUGGACCUGCGUUGUAUUAGCUAGUUGGUGAGGUAACGGCUCACCAAGGCGACGAUACAUAGCCGACCUGAGAGGGUGAUCGGCCGCACUGGGACUGAGACACGGCCCAGACUCCUACGGGAGGCAGCAGUAGGGAAUCUUCGGCAAUGGGGGCAACCCUGACCGAGCAACGCCGCGUGAGUGAAGAAGGUUUUCGGAUCGUAAAGCUCUGUUGUAAGAGAAGAACGUGUGUGAGAGUGGAAAGUUCACACAGUGACGGUAACUUACCAGAAAGGGACGGCUAACUACGUGCCAGCCGCCGCAGUAA
rnacentral:rRNA from 1 species